rnacentral:rRNA from 1 species
AACGCUGGCGGCGUGCCUAACACAUGCAAGUCGAACGCGAAAGUCCCGAUAGGGGCAAGUAGAGUGGCAAACGGGUGAGUAACGCGUGGGUGACCUGCCUUCGAGCGGGGGAUAACGUUUCGAAAGGAACGCUAAUACCGCAUAACAUCUUGCCUUUGAACAGGUGGAGAUCAAAGCCGGGGAUCGCAAGACCUGGCACUUGAAGAGGGGCCCGCGUCUGAUUAGCUAGUUGGUGAGGUAACGGCUCACUAAGGCAACGAUCAGUAUCCGGCCUGAGAGGGCGGACGGACACACUGGGAUUGAGACACGGCCCAGACUCCUACGGGAGGCAGCAGUGGGGAAUUGUUCGUAAUGGGCGCAAGCCUGACGACGCAACGCCGCGUGGAGGAUGAAGAUUUUUGGAUCGUAAACUCCUGUCGAAUGGGACGAAAAGAUCGCGGGUUAACAACUCGUAAUCCUGACGGUACCGUUAAAGGAAACCCCGGCUAACUCCGUGCCAUCAGCCGCGGUAAUAAGGU